UCUCCGUUGGUGAACCAGCGGAGGGAUCAUUACCGAAGUUACCUUCAAAACCCACUGUGAACCUUACCUCUUGCCGCGUUGCCUCGGCGGGAGGCGGUGUGCGUCGCGCGCCCUAGCGGGCCGCGCCGCUCCCGUCCCCGCCGGCAGGGCCAAACUCUAAAUGCACAGCGGACUGUACGUUCUGAUUUACAAAAAAAACAAGUUAAAACUUUCAACAACGGAUCUCUUGGUUCUG
rnacentral:misc_RNA from 1 species